GAUGAACGCUGGCGGCGUGCUUAACACAUGCAAGUCGAACGAGUGGGGACGGGUGAGUAACACGUGGGUAACCUCCCAUCAGAGGGGAUAACACUUGGAAACAGGUGCUAAACCGAUACUGAUGGAUGGACCCGCGGUGCAUUAGCUAGUUGGUGGGGUAACGGCUCACCAAGGCCACGAUGCAUAGCCGACCUGAGAGGAUGAGCGGCCACAAUGGGACUGAGACACGGACCAGACUCCUACGGGAGGCAGCAGUGGGGAAGUUUGGGCAAUGGACGAAAGUCUGACCGAGCAACGCCGCGUGAGUGAAGAAGGUUGUCGGGUCGUAAAGCUCUGUUGUUAGAGAAGCGGUAUCUAACCAGAAAGCCACGGCUAACUUCGUGCCAGCAGCCGCGGUAAUAC
rnacentral:rRNA from 1 species